GACGAACGCUGGCGGCGUGCUUAACACAUGCAAGUCGAACGGAAAGGCCCUGCUUUUGUGGGGUGCUCGAGUGGCGAACGGGUGAGUAACACGUGAGUAACCUGCCCUUGACUUUGGGAUAACUUCAGGAAACUGGGGCUAAUACCGGAUAGGAGCUCCUGCUGCAUGGUGGGGGUUGGAAAGUUUCGGCGGUUGGGGAUGGACUCGCGGCUUAUCAGCAUGUUGGUGGGGUAGUGGCUUACCAAGGCUUUGACGGGUAGCCGGCCUGAGAGGGUGACCGGCCACAUUGGGACUGAGAUACGGCCCAGACUCCUACGGGAGGCAGCAGUGGGGAAUAUUGCACAAUGGGCGGAAGCCUGAUGCAGCAACGCCGCGUGCGGGAUGACGGCCUUCGGGUUGUAAACCGCUUUCGCCUGUGACGAAGCGUGAGUGACGGUAAUGGGUAAAGAAGCACCGGCUAACUACGUGCCAGCAGCCGCGGUGAUACGUAGGGUGCGAGCGUUGUCCGGAUUUAUUGGGCGUAAAGGGCUCGUAGGUGGUUGAUCGCGUCGGAAGUGUAAUCUUGGGGCUUAACCCUGAGCGUGCUUUCGAUACGGGUUGACUUGAGGAAGGUAGGGGAGAAUGGAAUUCCUGGUGGAGCGGUGGAAUGCGCAGAUAUCAGGAGGAACACCAGUGGCGAAGGCGGUUCUCUGGGCCUUUCCUGACGCUGAGGAGCGAAAGCGUGGGGAGCGAACAGGCUUAGAUACCCUGGUAGUCCACGCUGUAAACGGUGGGUACUAGGUGUGGGGUCCAUUCCACGGGUUCCGUGCCGUAGCUAACGCUUUAAGUACCCCGCCUGGGGAGUACGGCCGCAAGGCUAAAACUCAAAGGAAUUGACGGGGCCCCGCACAAGCGGCGGAGCAUGCGGAUUAAUUCGAUGCAACGCGUAGAACCUUACCUGGGUUUGACAUGGAUCGGGAGUGCUCAGAGAUGGGUGUGCCUCUUUUGGGGUCGGUUCACAGGUGGUGCAUGGCUGUCGUCAGCUCGUGUCGUGAGAUGUUGGGUUAAGUCCCGCAACGAGCGCAACCCUUGUUCACUGUUGCCAGCACGUUAUGGUGGGGACUCAGUGGAGACCGCCGGGGUCAACUCGGAGGAAGGUGGGGAUGACGUCAAGUCAUCAUGCCCCUUAUGUCCAGGGCUUCACGCAUGCUACAAUGGCUGGUACAGAGAGUGGCGAGCCUGUGAGGGUGAGCGAAUCUCGGAAAGCCGGUCUCAGUUCGGAUUGGGGUCUGCAACUCGACCUCAUGAAGUCGGAGUCGCUAGUAAUCGCAGAUCAGCAACGCUGCGGUGAAUACGUUCCCGGG
rnacentral:rRNA from 1 species